CCGCCGCGGUGCGACUCCCCCCUCCCCGGGUGAGAGGCGGGGUGUGGGAGAGUCCCGAACACGCAAAACGUGGCCAUCGUCGUCCCCCGGAUUCCCGAGGACCCCGGAGCGUGCAGGACCUGGGGACCCGGCCGACGCGCGCACGAGCUCAACAAAGACAACUGGCUGUUUGGAAGGAAGCCCGGCAAGAAGCAGUGACCUAGAGCUGUGGCACAGGACCAGGGUGGCCUCGGGUAGUAAAAAGCACGGUGCCUCUGCCCUAAACAUGGUGUACUUGAAGAACACUAAUUUCCACCCACAUAGCUAAUUACAGCUUGCCAUCACAGAGCAUUUUAUUCAAGGAUCUCCAAGGACUGAAGAGAAAACAGUCUUGUCAGUCAGAUGUCCUUGUUGCCCAUAUUACAAGAAGAGACAGAAAUAUACAUCUCAAGCAACCUCAGCCUCGUGCCUUAUCAGUACAAUAGCCAUGAUUAGGAAACAUCGCAGCUAUGAGGUGCACUGUCUGUAUAAAUUACUGUAGUUUAAAGCGCUUGUACCCCAAGUGCUCAACAAGUUAGCAAAUGUUUGCUGUGGAAGCCUUUAUUCUUGGGGAAGAAAAGUAUGAAUGCCUGUUGAAAUCAUCUUGGGGAAAGAAUUAAGACACAUUCAGCCAUAAGCCACACCAGCUUUCCUCAGUUCUUCCACACCGAUGUAGUAAGUGUGGCCAAACUGAUGUUUCGGAUAAAAGUCUUACCACCCCCACAGGAGGUGGAGAUACUGCUGAAAUCACUCAGACUGUCUCUUCUCAGUGACAAGACAUGCUGAUAAAAAUUCCUUGCAAAUGACGUCGUAACCUGCUUCUCAUUUUUGCCAGUCAGCCAAUCCUUUUCUAGAGAAGUCGUGUUAUCACCAUCCUCUUUAUCCUACCGGCUAAUAUCCCGGUGGUAUGAGUACCAAAUUAAGUGACCCAAGAGGAAAAUGCUAUUCUUGUUUUCUGUGUUUAUUAAAAAUGUACCAGCCAAGAACGUUGGCCGCCUACACCCAUUUCCAUCCUUUCUCAUGGCAGCCUGCCAGUUCUCGAGCUGGUCACACCAUUGCCUUUGGAUUUAGAUCUUGCAUUGGCCGCCUGACCUCCGAAGGUCAUUUUGUGGAAAGGCGGUUUGUCAGCUCUGACACAACGUUACUUCUUGUUCAUAUUCGGUCUAACAUCGAAAGGAGAAAACAGGAGCUAGAAACAAACUAGUCCUGGUUGAGGGGGGAAUGUUGUGGAAUGAGUUACUGUAUAGAAUGGAAGAAUUUUAGGGAUGGGAGGAAUCUUAAGACAGUCAGUCAUUUUUAAGAAGAGGAGUGUGACGUCGGAUAGGUUAAGUAGCUUGCCCGUUGCCACGUAGUGCCUUGUGGUAGAGCUGAAGCUCAAACCCAGGAUUCCCAUCUCUCAGUCCCUUGUUCCUCCUCCCCCCACAUCAUACAGACAUCCUGUUGUAUAAAUAAGAGUUCCCUUAGAAAAGAAGUACAGCUAAUUUUGUCUCCUUAUAAACCUAAACUCUCCCUUAAAGAUUAAAGUUGGCUUGACCGAGUCAUUAAAGUCUUCGAAAUGAUUUCAA
rnacentral:sRNA from 1 species